GAACCUGUGAUUGACUUGAGAAUUAAUGCUUUUUUCUUUGGUACUGGUAAUGGAACCCUGGGCUGGCUAGGCAAGUGUUCCCUUCUUCCCUCACUGCUCUGUGUGUGUCCCUGCUGAAGCUGAAAAGCUAUGUACUCCGACAGAGAGGACCAUCAGCCCUGAGAGAGGAAAAAGUUUCUCUGGUCAAGAGUGUAUGAGUAGCUGUGCUCCUCUGCUAGAACCUCCAGACAAGCUCUCAGAUAGCUGGCAUUACAGAUGUGUGCCACCAUAGCUGAUGAGGACUGAAAAUUAAGUGUUGCCUUU
ensembl:misc_RNA 7SK 7SK RNA